rnacentral:ncRNA from 1 species
CAUUAGGUUGAUUCUGCCUAACGUAGAUGCUAGUCUCUGAAAUUAAGCCAUGCAUGUCAGUGAAACCCUACCGGGGGAACGCGAACGGCUCCAUAAUGUUGCGGUAAUUUGGUCUCUGUGUGAAAACUAACCACCGUACCUGUGGCUAAAACGGGAAAAAAAGGCCAACCCUAUAACUUGUUGGUAUGGAAAGGACUACCAAGCCUGGACGGUUACCGGAAAUCUGUUUGAUCCCGGAAAGGGACCGAAAA